AGGAGGCAGCAGUGGGGAAUCUUCCGCAAUGGACGAAAGUCUGACGGAGCAACGCCGCGUGAGCGAAGAAGGCCUUCGGGUCGUAAAGCUCUGUUGUCAGGGAAGAACAAGUAUCGGAGUAACUGCCGGUACCUUGACGGUACCUGACGAGAAAGCCACGGCUAACUACGUGCCAGCAGCCGCGGUAAUACGUAGGUGGCAAGCGUUGUCCGGAAUUAUUGGGCGUAAAGCGCGCGCAGGCGGUCCUUUAAGUCUGAUGUGAAAGCCCCCGGCUCAACCGGGGAGGGUCAUUGGAAACUGGGGGACUUGAGUGCAGGAGAGGGAAGUGGAAUUCCACGUGUAGCGGUGAAAUGCGUAGAGAUGUGGAGGAACACCAGUGGCGAAGGCGGCUUCCUGGCCUGUAACUGACGCUGAGGCGCGAAAGCGUGGGGAGCAAACAGGAUUAGAAACCCCGGUAGUCCC
rnacentral:rRNA from 1 species